AUCUACGGAGAGUUUGAUCCUGGCUCAGGACGAACGCUGGCGGCGUGCUUAACACAUGCAAGUCGAACGGUGAACCUGCUUCGGUGGGGGAUCAGUGGCGAACGGG
rnacentral:rRNA from 1 species